GACAGAGGGUGCAAACGUUGUUCGGAAUUACUGGGCGUAAAGCGCGUGUAGGCGGCUAUGUAAGUCGGGCGUGAAAUCCCACGGCUCAACCGUGGAAGUGCACCCGAAACUGCGUAGCUAGAGUCCUGGAGAGGAAGGUGGAAUGCUUGGUGUAGAGGUGAAAUUCGUAGAUAUCAAGCGGAACACCGGUGGCGAAGGCGGCCUUCUGGACAGUGACUGACGCUGGGACGCGAAAGCGUGGGGAGCAAACAGG
rnacentral:rRNA from 1 species